UCACACUCACACUCACACUCACACUCAACCAAGAGACCAACUUUUCUUUUUCUUUCCGCCAAAAUUAUAGAGGGAGGAAACAUACAGUGAUGUUUCUCGUGAUUUUCAACGACCGAAACUUCAAUUUGUCUCCGCUCCCCUCUCCUCAUUCAUUUCCCAACUCUCUCUCUCUCUCUUUCUCUCUUUACCAAAGUGCAAACCGACCUAAGAACAAGCAAAUAGCUAAGGGGGUUUUCACUUAUCCUGUCAUGGGUUAGCAUUGGCUAACCGCGGUUAAGAUGGAAGACAUGUCUGGUAGUACUUGUGAAAUUGUUGAAAUAGAUGAACAUGCUAGAACCCGCAAGUUGUUUCACACCGAUCGCACUAAAUACUCGAUUGAAGAUGACAUUCACCAACUUUUCGAGUCACUGGACGUCAGAAGUGUGCGGAAGGGUCUUCGUCAGUCUCCAGUUAUCGUUAAUUUAGGUAAAAGACCGAUCAAACCCGGUGUUUCUCACCAAUCUGGAAUUGGAAUUCCAGACUCAGUCAAUUUAAAGCAGGCAUUAAGAGGGCUCUGCAUUUCUCAAGCUUCAGAGAUGGCUGCUUUAAAGAGAUCCUCAAAACCUGUAAGGUUUUCAGAAGUCAAAGAAGCUGGAACUAUCAAAAGAUUGUACAGAGCGGUUGUAGUAGAAACGGGCGAUUAUGGUUUUCCUAUCCCCGACGUUAAGAAGGGAAAUUUAGUGAAGAUUUCACUUUUUCCAGAAGGAAGUACAUCUCAAAACUCAAAAAGUAGCAUUAGUACUAGCACGAGCAUUAGUGAUGAUAGCGGAUUGAGUGGAUCGAGUCGUAGCGGGUAUAGGCCACACAUGUCGAAAGACUUGAGAUGGGAAGCCAUUAGAUCUGUUCAGAAACAAAACAAAGGAGUGUUAAGCCUGAAACAUUUCAAACUCCUCAAGAGACUCGGUUCUGGGGAUAUUGCGACGGUUUACCUAGCUGAGUUAGUGGGCACCAACUGCCUGUUUGCUUUAAAAGUGAUGGAUAAUGCAUUUUUGUCUGGAAAGAAGAAGAUGCUUAGGGCUCAGACAGAAAGAGAGAUCAUGCAAAUGCUAGAUCAUCCGUUUCUCCCUACAUUGUUUCGUUAUUUCACAACCGAUAAGUAUUCUUGCUUGGCUAUGGAGUAUUGCCCCGGAGGAGAUCUUCACGUUCUUAGGCAAAAACAGCCUGACAAGUAUUUCUCCGAGCAUGCAGCCAGAUUUUACGUGGCUGAAGUCCUUGUGGCGUUGGAGUAUCUACACAUGCUUGGAGUUGUCUAUCGAGAUUUGAAGCCCGAAAAUGUCCUUGUUCGUGAAGAUGGUCAUAUCAUGCUUGCCGACUUUGACCUCUCCCUUCGAUGUGCUGUCAAUCCGACUCUGGUCAAGUCGUCAUCAUCACCGAAAACACGCUCCACCUCGAUCCCGUGCUCAGAUGCCAGCUGCAUAAUGCACCCUUUAUGCCUCCAACCAUCAUGGCAAGUCCCUUGCUUCACCCCUAAAUUUCUUUCAAUUACAUCAAAAUCCCAAAAGCUUAGAGCCACAGACUUGGCUACCCAGUCUCUGCCCCAGCUCGUGGUUGAGCCCACAACAGCCAGAUCAAACUCAUUUGUCGGGACCCACGAGUACCUAGCUCCGGAAAUUGUGAAAGGAGAUGGCCAUGGAAGCGCUGUUGAUUGGUGGACUUUUGGGAUCUUUAUGUUCGAGUUGCUAUAUGGGAAAACUCCCUUUAAGGGUCCUACAACCGAGGACACUUUGGCAAAUUCGGUUUCCUUGAGCCUCAAGUUUCCAGAGUUCCCUACUAUUAGUUCUCAUGCAAGGGGCAUGAUAAGAGGUUUGCUAGUAAAAGAUCCAGAGAACCGGCUUGGCUCUGGAAAAGGGGCGGCAGAGAUUAAAAUGCACCCUUUCUUCCAAGGACUGAAUUGGGCGCUAGUCCGAUGUGAGACACCUCCAGAGAUACCUAAAAUGGACGGGCUUAGUGGUGCCACAUCAGAAAUAGCCCCACUAGAGAAGUUGGAGAGUGCUGGAGGCGACAACAUCGAAAGUGUAAACUUUGAGAUGUUUUAAUUAGCUUUAUUGUGAACUAAUGUUAUCACGUAUGAAUAUAACAGUGUAAGUCAAAGUGGACACGCCAUACAUUUAUAUUCUCGAUCAAAUCUAGAGCCAAGAGGAUUGAUUGUUUAUACACAGCAGUUGAAAUUUGUAAUUAAUAUGUUUAUUAUGUUCUA